AUGGAGCCGACCUUGAAAUACCACCCUUUAAUGUUUGAUGUUCUAACGUUGACCCGUAAUCCGGGUUGCGGACAGUGUCUGGUGGGUAGUUUGACUGGGGCGGUCUCCUCCUAAAGAGUAACGGAGGAGCACGAAGGUUGGCUAAUCCUGGUCGGACAUCAGGAGGUUAGUGCAAUGGCAUAAGCCAGCUUGACUGCGAGCGUGACGGCGCGAGCAGGUGCGAAAGCAGGUCAUAGUGAUCCGGUGGUUCUGAAUGGAAGGGCCAUCGCUCAACGGAUAAAAGGUACUCCGGGGAUAACAGGCUGAUACCGCCCAAGAGUUCAUAUCGACGGCGGUGUUUGGCACCUCGAUGUCGGCUCAUCACAUCCUGGGGCUGAAGUAGGUCCCAAGGGUAUGGCUGUUCGCCAUUUAAAGUGGUACGCGAGCUGGGUUUAGAACGUCGUGAGACAGUUCGGUCCCUAUCUGCCGUGGGCGCUGGAGAACUGAGGGGGGCUGCUCCUAGUACGAGAGGACCGGAGUGGACGCAUCACUGGUGUUCGGGUUGUCAUGCCAAUGGCACUGCCCGGUAGCUAAAUGCGGAAGAGAUAAGUGCUGAAAGCAUCUAAGCACGAAACUUGCCCCGAGAUGAGUUCUCCCUGACU
rnacentral:rRNA from 1 species